CCUCCGUUCUUUUUUCAUGGCUUCUUUUAUCAUGAGAAGGGAAUACUUGAUAAAAGAUCCCUUGUAAUCAAAUCUCAUUUCGAGGUUUUACUGGGAGUGGAAAAAGGGAAGAGACGAGGGUUCCAAUUUCCAUCAAAAUUUCUAGGGUUUAAGGGUUUUUUCCAUUUUUCAAUCAAAAUCAAAUUUAAUCCAAUUCCAUAUCUUGAAUUUCAUCAUCAUAAUCACCAUCAUGUUUACUCUCCGUAGAGUUGUAAAUCCUCUCAGAUCCAGACUACAUUUUGGUCUAAGAUCACUAGCAGCAGCAACAGCUCCUCUCCGAUCAUAUCAUACAAAAUCAAACAUUUUUCAUCAAAUUUCACCAACAGUAUCAAACAAUCUUCACCAGAGCCAACCACAUCACCGAAAUCUCUUCACAUUUCGUGGUUUUAACUCUCAAUCAGAACAACAACAACAAUCACCGAUCAAAAAAGAAGAUGGAUCCAUACAGUUGCUAAGAAACGGGGAAAGGCAAAAAGGUCGUCAAGUCCGAAGUUCCUUGCGCUGUCGAAUAGCUUUGUCUUGAGUAUUUAUGUUGGUUCUGAUGAAUUGGAGAAUGCUGAACAAAUGUUUAAGGAAAUUCAGGAUUCAGGAUCUCCGGUAAGUAGUUCAGAUUGUCAAAAUAUGAUAUGUUUGUAUAAGAAAUUCGAAAGGAGAAGAUAAAGAGUGUGUUAUUGUUCAUGGAGGAAAACGAUGUGGAGAUGACUCUGGAUUUUACAUACAGUUGUUGGAAGAUGAUUAUGUAAAAUGGUUUGUCCAUCACCGAUUUAGAUCUUGGGAGCAGUUGGUUGAAACGAUAGAGAAGUUGGAGUUUGCCGAAUCCAUGAAAAGUGAUGGUUUUGUGUUGAUUCCUAACUAUAUCCGUGCGGAGAUGGCCAGACACUAUAUUGGUAUAACAACUGCAACAACAAUCAAUUGGAUAAAAGUCGCCGGAGUGCACCGGUUGAUAUCUGGAGAUCACAGUCUUCGAAGUUUUAUACUGGAUGUAGUAAUAGAGGGUCUCAUUUCCCCCCGUAAGCAUCUCUAUUCUUCUGACAUUUUGUUGCUUUGUAUUGUAGUACAUUACCGUCCUGAAAUGGGUUAAGAGUACCCUCUUAUAGUACCUGACCUUAAGUAUGAAUGUAACCUGCUUGAUUAUAUGA